UACAGAGGGGGCAAGCGUUGCUCGGAAUCACUGGGCGUAAAGCGCACGUAGGCGGACUCUUAAGUCGGUGGUGAAAUCCUGGAGCUCAACUCCAGAACUGCCUUCGAUACUGAGAGUCUCGAGUCCGGGAGAGGUGAGUGGAACUGCGAGUGUAGAGGUGAAAUUCGUAGAUAUUCGCAAGAACACCAGUGGCGAAGGCGGCUCACUGGCCCGGUACUGACGCUGAGGUGCGAAAGCGUGGGGAGCAAACAGG
rnacentral:rRNA from 1 species